rnacentral:rRNA from 1 species
UACGGGGGGGGCAAGCGUUGUUCGGAAUUACUGGGCGUAAAGGGCUCGUAGGCGGCCAACUAAGUCCGACGUGAAAUCCCCAGGCUUAACCUGGGAACUGCGUCGGAUACUGGAUGGCUUGAAUUCGGGAGAGGGAUGCAGAAUUCCAGGUGUAGCGGUGAAAUGCGCAGAUAUCAGGAAGAACACCUAUGGCGAAGGCAGCUCUCUGGGACGGUACUGACGCUGAGACGCGAAAGCGUGGGGAGCGAACAGG